rnacentral:rRNA from 1 species
GACAGAGGAUGCAAGCGUUAUCCGGAAUGAUUGGGCGUAAAGCGUCUGUAGGUGGCUUUUUAAGUCCGCCGUCAAAUCCCAGGGCUCAACCCUGGACAGGCGGUGGAAACUACCAAGCUGGAGUACGGUAGGGGCAGGAGGGAAUUUCCGGUGGAGCGGUGAAAUGUGUAGAUAUUGGAAAGACCACCGAUGGCGAAGGCACUCUACUGGGCCAUGACUGACACUGAGAGACGAAAGCUAGGGGAGCAAACAGG